rnacentral:rRNA from 1 species
GGGCAGCUACCCAGCAAUGGGAUGCGAAUCUCGAAAGCCUGUCUCAGUUCGGAUUGGAGGCUGAAACCCGCCUCCAUGAAGUUGGAUUCGCUAGUAAUCGCGCAUCAGCCAUGGCGCGGUGAAUACGUUCCCGGGCCUUGUACACACCGCCCGUCACACCAUGAGAGUUGGCAAUACCCAACGUACGUGAUCUAACCCGCAAGGGGGGAAGCGUCCUAAGGUAGGGUCAGCGAUUGGGGUGAAGUCGUAACAAGGUAAC